UCUAAGAGGAGACGGAGAGAUUCAGGGAGGAGCUAAGAUGUUACUGAACUAUAGAAGAGAGAGGAACUUCUAUAUUCAGCAGAGUUCAAUACACAAACCAUCAACAUUACCUUCAUUCAACAUGCUCUCAUUGGACUGUUAUGGACUUUCUCUACUGUUUGUCACUAUUCUAACAGGUGUCAGCUGUGGAAAACUCACUCCAGUCAAGAAUGAAGAGUCCAGUUUAGAAGACAGCACUGUGACUCUGUCCUACAAAUACUCUGAAAAACCAACUGGUGGUGAUUAUUUCUUCUGGUAUCGACAAUAUCCAGGAAAACCACCAGAGUUCAUCAUCUCACACUCUUCUUUAGGAAGAGUAGGAACUUUUAAAAUCUCUGGACUGAAGACUGAAGUGGAUCAGAAACAAAUCCAUCUGAUCAUCUCCUCUGCUGCAGUGUCAGACUCUGCUGUGUACUACUGUGCUGUGAAGCCCACAGUGACAGGAAACACCAAAACUCUGUACAAAAACCUUUGGAGCAAAGACAACACAAUACUCCACAACGUCCACUAGAGGGAGUCACACUCUGUUCCACUUUAAGACGAUAACACAACAAAUGCUCCAACAACUCAACCAACAUCAUCAUCAUCCACUAAAGCUGUUCUUUCUCUGCUGUUUCACACUGAAAGCUCAAACUGGUUCACACAACAUGACAGUUUGAUCCAGAGGACAUAUUACUAGACGCACAAUGAUCCCUGAUUAGUGAAGCCUCUCUUAAAGGAGCCACAUCGACAUGAAAAGAUCCUCAGUAAUGACAGGCCUACAUCUAAUCUACCCUUUAUCAGCAAAGAUCGGACCGUACAGUGUGAUCACUCAGGUCGUGGCUGAUGAUCGGACCGUACAGUGUGAUCACUCAGGUCGUGGCUGG